rnacentral:rRNA from 1 species
UCCGUAGGUGGAUAAUUAAGUCAGAGGUGAAAUCCUGCAGCUCAACUGUAGAAUUGCCUUUGAUACUGGUUAUCUUGAGUCAUUAUGAAGUGGUUAGAAUGUGUAGUGUAGCGGUGAAAUGCAUAGAUAUUACACAGAAUACCGAUUGCGAAGGCAGAUCACUAAUAAUGUACUGACACUGAGGUACGAAAGCGUGGGGAGCGAACAGGAUUAGAUACCCUGGUAGUC